AUUGAACGCCGGCGGCAGGCCUAACACAUGCAAGUCGAACGGCAGCGGGGGAUAGCUUGCUAUCCUGCCGGCGAGUGGCGGACGGGUGAGUAAUGCAUGGGGAGCUGCCCAGUCGAGGGGGAUAACAACUGGAAACGGCUGCUAAUACCGCAUACGCCCUAAGGGGGAAAGGCGGGGAACUUCGGUCCUACCGCGAUGGGAUGCGCCCAUGUGGGAUUAGCUAGUUGGUGAGGUAACGGCUCACCAAGGCGACGAUCUCUAGCUGGUCUGAGAGGAUGACCAGCACACUGGAACUGAGACACGGUCCAGACUCCUACGGGAGGCAGCAGUGGGGAAUAUUGCACAAUGGGGGAAACCCUGAUGCAGCCAUGCCGCGUGUGUGAAGAAGGCCUUCGGGUUGUAAAGCACUUUCAGUCAGGAGGAAGGUGGUAAGGCUAAUAUCCUUAUCAAUUGACGUUACUGACAGAAGAAGCACCGGCUAACUCCGUGCCAGCAGCCGCCGUAA
rnacentral:rRNA from 1 species